CCUCGGGGUGUUGGUCAACGCUUGGCUGAACAUGAGCCAGAAGUGUGCGCAGGUGGCCAAGAAGGAAAAUAGCACCCUGGCUUGUAUAACAAAGAAAUAAAUUUGCCUUUUGAAUCACUUCAUGUGUUGUUUCCCUCGCACAAAGCUACCUUCCUUUCAGCUGCACACGCAGUGGACGGAGGUACAAGAUCAAGGACUUCAUACCUCAUCUGAUUUCUAAACUGUUCUUUGGACUCUCAAGACUCCUUAUACAGCCUACUUGGGUGAAGCAGAGACAAAAGCUCUCAGAAAAUCUACCCCGUGUUCUGCUUAAUCUGGUACUGAGACACCAGGUCACUGUCAAGGAAUACCAUUACGAAAUGGAUGUUCAGAUGCUUCUUUUCCUCAUGGAACAACAAUUAUAGAUAUGCUGUAGUUCAUCUUCCUAUCUUUGAUCACACCACUCAAAAACGGACACUGCCUCAGUCAGGAGAGAUCAGGUUCAGUCAUCAGUCAUGUUUCUAUUCAUGCACGCGUUCUUUGGCAUCUUGCAAAAUCAUACAGGAUGGAUGACUCUUGUUCACUUUGUAGUCCUCUGUAUAUUUAACCACUUCCUGAACUCAUGCAACUCAUGAAUGUAUGCAACUCAUACAUUCUGGAUUUCAUGGAACUUGGACAAACCAUCAGCAAUGGCCACUGACGCUGACUAAGCAGAAGGCUCAAACUUCCAGAUUCAGGCCAGAAAGAAGAUGACUUUUCUCCUACAACAUGAUAAUACCAGGCCCUCAUACCAGAUUGAAGUCUGUGGAUCACGUUGCCAGUCUUGUCUGGACUGUCCUACAAUACCCACUGCAUAGUCCAUAUUUGGUGCCUUCUGACUUCCGUCUGUUUGGGCCAGUGAAAGAUGGACUGCAUGGAAAACAUUUUCCUACCAACUGCACCAUCAUAGCAGCUGUGAAACAAUGGGCCACCUUCGCUGGUGCAAAUUUUUACAAGUGUGGUAUGCAGGCUCUUGUUCAUCGUUGGUCAAAAAGCAUAGCUAAUGGUGGUGACUAUGCUGAAAAAAUAGUGUUUCGUAGCUGAGACAUUGCUCUAACAGUGUUAUUGUUCUCUUUGUAUCUGUUGUAGUUUCCAUGGAAAUAAAUAGGAGGCAACUUAUGUAUAUAUACUUGCCUCUUGUUUUCCUGAAGGGAAACAAACAGCUAAAUGCUGCAAACUGAGCCAUCUUAAUCUGUUAACACCAUUUGACACAGCAAACCAGUAAUCAAAUGAACUGACUGAAAUAACAGAGCAAAAGUUUCUGAGAACUCUGAAUCCUCAAACUUAUUUUAAGCUCAAGUUUCUUUUCAAACAAGAAUUCCAAAGCAAACACAAUGCACUGGAAGUUUUCUCAGCUUCAGCUGGCUGGAAAAUGAAAGGACUCAAAUUCCCAUCACUUCACCUUCCUGGUUCUCUGACCUUUGGUGUCCCAUUUAUUGUUCCUUUAGGAGGCAUGAAGCCUUCUAUCUGGCUUCAUUCGGCAUAUGCCUCUAUUAUCAUUCUUGAGCUAGCAAUCAGACUGGAAGUUUAAGGAGGCACCAGUGGUCACAGAGGACUCACUGGAGUGUGCGUAUAUUCUUGUAGACCCAAAGUUCUUCUGAAAAUGUUUAGGAACAAUGGGUUUGGAAUCAGCAUCCAUGAGUUAUUGGAAACAAGUUACGUUGAUGAAAAUAACCAAAUCAAUAUAAACAUAUCUCAACCUCUCUUUCAUACCUUUGAAAACACAUAGAAAAAAAUCAGUGUCUGUAGAAAUUAAUUGUUAAUAAAUGAAAAGAGAUCAAGAAUUCAAUUGAUAAAUGAGGGUGGAAGUCAUUGGCAGAGAGAAAAUCCAGGAACUACUGAGAAAAAAAAUCUUUAAAAAAUGUAAAGACUACUUCCUGGUGUUUUCUUUGUUGUUGUUGUUGUUUUCUUUUCUCAACACUGAACAAGCAAAACACACACGGCAAGGGGCAUCUAAUCACUACGCUGAUUUAGUUUAGGCACAACAGUGCCAUCAUAUGUCCAAAGUUUAUGCAUUUCAAACUGUUUUCUGAGGAUCACAGUGAGACUUAGAGUAACAGAGAAUAAAAUAAAGUGCUGUUUUUCAAGCAUAUGAACAGUGUAGCACAAAUAGCUCUCAUGCAAUUAGAUGUAGAUUCGAUAAUGCAAAUUGUUCUGCUGGGUCGGUAAUAAAAACCGAUUUCUAUGUAGUGCAAAAAGUUCAUAAGAGACUUAGAAUUAGAGUUCUCUAUGUUUGUAGAAACCUGAUGACCAUAAUCACUUGAGACAACUCCCCUGUGCAAAGCACUUAAAUAUAAAAAACAUAAAUCAACAAAAAAAGGCAAAUUAAGAACCUCCACAAAUUUUAUACCCCUUGUGAGUGUCCUUGAAGAUAUAACUGGCUCUGGGAAAUCUGGUGUAUUCUCUGAUUUACUACAUACCUGAAGCCAACAACCCUACAUUAGGUUCCUUUGCUAUUGCUUUUCCUAAAGAGAAUCACUUACAGCCACGUCUGUGGCCACUGGAAGAAAAUAUCCUCUACACUGUUGAGGCCUCUGAAUUCUACUAACUCCAGAGAAAAUUCAUAGCAAUCAUCUCAGAUCUUCUUAAGGAAAAAUGAGUUCUCCCUUAAACAAGUCUGAGCAUUAGAAUGAAUAAUCAAAAUAGCAGCCAAACCCUACGCUUUUAUUCAGUUGGUUUUAGAUUGUCCCUGGCAUUUUCAAUUUAAGCUCUGCUAUAAAGUUUUUACAAUUAUAAUGUUCACGGCUUCAUAAAAGCUGCCAGGGGAAAUUGAAGAUUUUCACAGUGGGAUACUGGGCAGCUGGAAUUUUUGGCACUUGAAAAAGCAAGGAAAGCAGCUUGCAAGUGAGAGAUAAGCACGUUGGUUGGAUUACUCAAUAUCAAGAGAAGAUAAACUGCAAACAUGGCUGACAUUUCUCUUGUCAUUUUGAAGUUUCAGAACAACAUCACAAUAUAGACAUGGACAUUUCAUGCACACUUAUUGUUUCAGAAUUUUCGUAAAGUCAAGGAGUCAUUACUGCUUUAGUGAUAAUCAUUCAUACUGUCAUUUUCACUCUGUCAUAUUUUCAAAACCAUAUUAAUAUUCCAAAAUUAUUACUUUUGAUCAGUUUGUCUGGAACAGGAGGAGUACUGACAGCAAAAAUAUGUAUUGUACAUACUGUGGAAUACAUAAAGCUUUAGGUUUGUUUCAAACCUAAACCAAUCAGAUCCAAAGUCUGUUGAGUGCUCAAACUUGCAAGUUUCACUUCAGUUCCUUACAUUAGCUGAUACUUAAACUGAAGAAGAAAAGCAAGGAACUAUACAGAAUACAGUGUGAUGUAAGGAAUAGGAAAUUGUAAAAUGACACAAAUUUCCCCAGAAUUAGAACGGAAAUUCAUUUAAAAAGAAAGAAAAAAUUCAUGUUACAUUCUCUCGACAAUAUAGAUAAUUUCUAGAAUUUGUUUAGUAAUGUGUUGUAACUUUUAAUACUUAUAAAAAUUAUUUUUGUUCUUAUCAACUAAACAACCAGAAGGGGACAAUCUAUAUUUUGUACAGGACUGAGAAGACAAAUGAGUAAAUUUUCAGCCUGACAGGAGUUCCAUUUAAGUCAAUGGACUUUGAAUUACCUUAGAUAAAGUAGUAAAAAAUAGCAAACCUCAUUUGUGCAUAAAUUCUGAUAAAUGAAUAAAUUUAACAACCACUUUGUGCAAUUUGCUCUGCUAAGGAUAAAUCAUGAGAAAGUCCAACAACAGACUUGAGGCAUGCUUCUCUAUCCUGACUUUGUUUAUAAAACAGAAUUGUUAAUGAAAAUGAAACACCAAUAUCAAAUUUCAAAAGAUAUUUUAAAAAACCUAUGGCAAUACAGUUCUUUUAAAUUUAAAUGAUCAAAAAAAUACUGCUCUCCCCUUAAUUACAAGGGAUAUGAUAUUCUGUCCACCAAUUUCUAUUCACCAUAGUCAGAAACCUGCCAAAUAGAGCAACCAUCGCAUCACAGAAGUUGAAAUGAAUUAAAUAAGCAAAAUGUCUUGCUGAGUUUAUUAAAAUGUACAAUUAAGUAAAAUCUGCUCAAAGUUUCAGUGAGUGGUGGAAAAGUGAAAGGGAAGGCAAAGAGGAAAGGGGAAGGGGAAGGAA